rnacentral:rRNA from 1 species
UGGUGGAGUGAUUUGUCUGGUUAAUUCCGUUAACGAACGAGACCUUAACCUAUUAAUUAGUUACGUGAACAUGGGCUUCGGUCCUGUCUGUUCACGGGCAACUUCUUAGAGGGACUCUCGGCAUCUCUAGCCGAUGGAAGUUUGAGGCAAAAACA